UGUUGAUAGUGAGGGCAAUUUCUAAGCAUACCUUUAAAUCUUUCCCAAGAUUUGUAGAUUUUCUCAUUCUUUCUGCCUAAAAUAUAGAAUCUCGCUCCUCAAAUU
rfam:Capsicum annuum cultivar Zunla-1 chromosome 2, whole genome shotgun sequence